AAUGAGAGAGCAUCAUAUAUAACAAGGCCAUUAGAAAUGAGAGAGCAUCAUAUAUAACAAGGCCAUUAGAAAUGAGAGAGCAUCAUAUAUAACAAGGCCAUUAGAAAUGAGAGAGCAUCAUAUAUAACAAGGCCAUUAGAAAUGAGAGAGCAUCAUAUAUUACAAGGCCAUUAGAAAUGAGAGAGCAUCAUAUAUUACAAGGCCAUUAGAAAUGAGAGAGCAUCAUAUAUAACAAGGCCAUUAGAAAUGAGAGAGCAUCAUAUAUAACAAGGCCAUUAGAAAUGAGAGAGCAUCAUAUAUAACAAGGCCAUUAGAAAUGAGAGAGCAUCAUAUAUUACAAGGCCAUUAGAAAUGAGAGAGCAUCAUAUAUUACAAGGCCAUUAGAAAUGCCAGAUGGGCUCAUUUUACUAACUUGAUCACCAAUAAUCAGAAUAAUUAGAGAGUGCUCUUCUCCACCAUUGAUGGCCUGAUAAAUCCUACCUCCGCAAACCUAUGUGAACUUUCCUCUACAUGUAAAUGUGAUGAGUUUACAGCAUAUUUCAGAGAUAAGAUAUCCAACAUUAGACUGGGUAUCAGUCAAGACCUGAUGAGAAGUCUGAUGAUAUGUGCACUAGCCUACCACACAAAGGCACUAUGGAUUUAUUUUCCCUGGUUGACACAGACAUGGUCAGGAAAGUGACAUCACAACUUGACCUUCCACCUGCCUUCUCCAUCCUAUCCCCACCACCUUCUUCAAAACAGUUUUUAAUGGCAUAUCUGAAGAAGUGCAAGCUAUUGUUAAUCACUCCCUGUUUAUGGGAACUUUCCCCACUGCACUAAAAACUGAUAUGGUGAAACCCCUUCUGAAGAAAAGGAUUCUAGAUUCUUCAGCUCUUAGAAGUUAUCAGUCUCCAACCUCUUAAGCAGAAUUCUAUUAGUUGGUGUUCCAACAGCUAAAUUAGAUUCUAGAUUCCUCAGCUCUUAGAAGUUAUCAGUCUCCAACCUCUUAAGCAGAAUUCUAUUAGUUGGUGUUCCAACAGCUAAAUUAGAUUCUAGAUUCCUCAGCUCUUAGAAGUUAUCAGUCUCCAACCUCUUAAGCAGAAUUCUAUUAGUUGGUGUUCCAACAGCUAAAUUAUUACCUCAAAUGAAGUUAGAGCACUGAUUAUGCUUUUGAAUCCCAAGGAGCACCAUUUUGUUUCUCUCCGUCACCCACGCUCACUUUAAACAUUUGGAUGAUAGUUAUAUAAAAGACAUAAUUAUAUCACAGACCCGAUUUGCCCUAACGGAAAAUGACAUGAAAAGCACACAUUUGUAAAUCCCAAACUCUAAAAGUAAUUGUAAAGGUAGAUGCAAAUGAUUUGUGACAUUGUGGUUUCAAUAAAGAAUGUAAACAAGAUGCUGUGUUUUUAUUUACAGUAAUGAUGGACAACUGGAGUCAUUUUGAAAAGUUUUUCACAAGUGUACUGUAGUACUGCAGCAGGUGUAGUACUGUAGUACUGUAAUACUGUAGCAGGUGUAGUACUGUAGUACUGUAGCAGGUGUAGUACUGUAGCAGGUGUAGUACUGUAGUACUGUAGCAGGUGUAGUACUGUAGUAUGUGUAGUACUGUAGCAGGUGUAGUGCUGUAGUACCGUAGCAGGAAUAGUACUGUAGUAGGUGUAGAACUGUAGUGCUGUAGUACUGUAGCUGGUGUAGUGCUGUAGUACUGUAGCAGGUGUAGUACUGUAGUACUGUAGCAGGUGUAGUACUGUGGUACUGUAGCAGGUGUAGUACUGUAGCAGGUGUAGUACUGUAGCAGGUGUAGUCCAUCAAACAAUGUUUCCUAUUAGCAGGACAAUAGACUCUUCAUAGCCCAACUGUUGUAAUUGUGAAAAUCCCCAAAUUUGC
rnacentral:lncRNA from 1 species